rnacentral:ncRNA from 2 species
CAUCCAUCCAGACCGGUCGAGGGACAGGCCCGACGACGCCGGGGCAACCUCCCGCCUCCCACCAGGGGGUCGGGGUUCGGUGCCAAUUCCUGCGGAGGGCAGCGAUGCCCACUGGAAGAUGGGAC